rnacentral:snoRNA from 1 species
CACUCCUAUUUCUGCCCCACAUUCUUUUUACUCUAUGGACUGGUGGGUUCUGUUUAAUGGAGAAGAAAAUGCCAAGAAAUGGUAUGCCUGCACCUUGAUACAUCGCAGGGAUAUUUCAUUUGUUGGAUCGUGUGAACGUACGCCUUGUAUCCAGUUGCUGUUUCCGAGUGCAGUCUGGGGAUGGCGUUUUCUCUACAUUU